rnacentral:tRNA from 1 species
CGAAUAGAAGCCCGUUGGUUUGGGAAAUUAGCUGUUAAUUAAUUUUUCGUGGGUUAAAAGCCCGCCUAUUCA